rnacentral:rRNA from 1 species
CGGCGAACGGGUGAGUAACACGUGGGUGAUCUGCCUCGUACUUCGGGAUAAGCCUGGGAAACUGGGUCUAAUACCGGAUAUGACCUCUUGUCGCAUGGCUUGGGGUGGAAAGAUUUAUCGGUACGAGAUGGGCCCGCGGCCUAUCAGCUUGUUGGUGGGGUAAUGGCCUACCAAGGCGACGACGGGUAGCCGGCCUGAGAGGGCGACCGGCCACACUGGGACUGAGACACGGCCCAGACUCCUACGGGAGGCAGCAGUGGGGAAUAUUGCACAAUGGGCGAAAGCCUGAUGCAGCGACGCCGCGUGAGGGAUGACGGCCUUCGGGUUGUAAACCUCUUUCGACAGGGACGAAGCGCAAGUGACGGUACCUGUAGAAGAAGCACCGGCCAACUACGUGCCAGCAGCCGCGGUAAUACGUAGGGUGCGAGCGUUGUCCGGAAUUACUGGGCGUAAAGAGCUUGUAGGCGGUUUGUCGCGUCGUCUGUGAAAACUCACAGCUCAACUGUGAGCUUGCAGGCGAUACGGGCAGACUUGAGUACUGCAGGGGAGACUGGAAUUCCUGGUGUAGCGGUGAAAUGCGCAGAUAUCAGGAGGAACACCGGUGGCGAAGGCGGGUCUCUGGGCAGUAACUGACGCUGAGAAGCGAAAGCGUGGGUAGCGAACAGGAUUAGAUACCCUGGUAGUCCACGCCGUAAACGGUGGGCGCUAGGGUGUGGGUUUCCUUCCACGGGAUCCGUGCCGUAGCUAACG